rnacentral:rRNA from 1 species
UUAGGGAAUAUUCGGCAAUGGGGGAAACCCUGACCGAGCGAUGCCGCGUGAGUGAUGAAGGUUCUAUGAAUUGUAAAACUCUGUUGUAUGGGAAGAACGACUAGAUUAGGAAAUGAAUUUAGUGUGACGGUACCWUGCCAGAAAGCUCCGGCUAACUACGUGCCAGCAGCCGCGGUAAUA